UGUCCCUCCACUUCAUCUGUUUGACUCAGUUGUCUUAAGGGUUGCCAGGGUUUUCAAGCAGGCAACGCCAUCAGGUCCAAACCCAAAACAACGAAAUUGGACGAGACAGUUUGUUAAAUGCAGUGUACCUGCUGAGAGAUGAAGGAGGGGAUGAGAGGCAAGAAUAUCAAUCUCAUCUUCAUGUAUGAUAUUGCAUGAAGAUGCAACCACGUGCAAUGGACUAUCUGCCACAGAGGCUUUCCCGAGCAACAGAAGUUGCAACAGAGGCAGAAAGGG